UGCCCAGCAACUCCUAUCCCUACCUUCACGCGGUACCGGCCGGAAACUAUGAGCAACCUUAGGGACAGUGAAGACAAUUAUCAGACAAAAGAGG
rnacentral:ribozyme from 1 species